rnacentral:rRNA from 1 species
CAGGCCUAACACAUGCAAGUCGAGGGGCAGCGCGGAGUAGCAAUACUCUGGCGGCGACCGGCGGAAGGGUGCGUAACACGUGAGCAACUUGCCCGUGACAGGGGGAUAAGCGAUGGAAACGUCGUCUAACAUCCCGUAACACGAGGGGAGGCAUCUCCCUUCGUUGAGAACUCCGGUGGUCACGGAUGGGCUCGCGGGGCAUUAGCUAGUUGGCGGGGCAACGGCCCACCAAGGCGACGAUGUCUAGGGGUUCUGAGAGGAAGAUCCCCCACACUGGAACUGAGACACGGUCCAGACUCCCACGGGAGGCAGCAGUGAGGAACAUUGGACAAUGGAGGCAACUCUGAUCCAGCCAUGCCGCGUGAAGGACGGAGGCCCUAUGGGUCGUAAACUUCUUUUGUCAGGGAGCAAUAAGGGCCACGCGUGGUCCGACGAGAGUACCUGGCGAAUAAGCAUCGGCUAACUCCGUGCCAGCAGCCGCGGUAAUACGGAGGAUGCGAGCGUUAUCCGGAUUUAUUGGGUUUAAAGGGUGCGUAGGCGGACGAUUAAGUCAGCUGUGAAAUGCCCGCGCUUAACGCGGGAAGUGCAGUUGAUACUGGUUGUCUGGAGUGCCGUUGCCGUGGGGGGAAUGUGUAGUGUAGCGGUGAAAUGCAUAGAUAUUACACAGAACGCCGAUUGUGAAGACACCUCACGAAGCGGUAACUGACGCUGAGGCACGAAAGCGUGGGGAUCGAACAGGAUUAGAUACCCUGGUAGUCCACGCAGAAAACGAUGAUGACUAACCGUCGGCGAUAGACCGCCGGUGGCCAAGCGAAAGCGAUAAGUCAUCCACCUGGGGAGUACGACCGCAAGGUUGAAACUCAAAGGAAUUGACGGGGCCCGCAUAAGCGGAGGAACAUGUGGUUUAAUUCGAUGAUACGCGAGGAACCUUACCCGGGCUCGAACGGCAGAGGAAGGAUGCGGAGACGCAAACGCCCUUCGGGGCUUCUGUCGAGGUGCUGCAUGGUUGUCGUCAGCUCGUGCCGUGAGGUGUCGGCUUAAGUGCCAUAACGAGCGCAACCCUUGCCGUCAGUUACCAGCACGUAAUGGUGGGGACUCUGGCGGGACUGCCACCGCAAGGUGAGAGGAAGGGGGGGAUGACGUCAAAUCAGCACGGCCCUUACGUCCGGGGCGACACACGUGUUACAAUGGUGGGUACAGAAGGAAGCUACCUGGCGACAGGAUGCAGAUCUUUAAAACCCAUCUCAGUUCGGAUCGGAGUCUGCAACCCGACUCCGUGAAGCUGGAUUCGCUAGUAAUCGCGCAUCAGCCAUGGCGCGGUGAAUACGUUCCCGG